GUAACAAGGUUUCCGUAGGUGAACCUGCGGAAGGAUCAUUACCGAGUGUAGGGUUCCUAGCGAGCCCAACCUCCCACCCGUGUUUACUGUAACCUUAGUUGCUUCGGCGGGCCCGCCUUUAAGGCCGCCGGGGGGCAUCAGCCCCCGGGCCCGCGCCCGCCGGAGACACCACGAACUCUGUCUGAUCUAGUGAAGUCUGAGUUGAUUGUAUCGCAAUCAGUUAAAACUUUCAACAAUGGAUCUCUUGGUUCCGGCAUCGAUGAAGAACGCAGCGAAAUGCGAUAACUAGUGUGAAUUGCAGAAUUCCGUGAAUCAUCGAGUCUUUGAACGCACAUUGCGCCCCCUGGUAUUCCGGGGGGCAUGCCUGUCCGAGCGUCAUUGCUGCCCAUCAAGCACGGCUUGUGUGUUGGGUCGUCGUCCCCUCUUCGGGGGGGACGGGCCCCAAAGGCAGCGGCGGCACCGCGUCCGAUCCUCGAGCGUAUGGGGCUUUGUCACCCGCUCUGUAGGCCCGGCCGGCGCUUGCCGAACGCAAAACAACCAUUCUUUCCAGGUUGACCUCGGAUCAGGUAGGGAUACCCGCUGAACUUAAGCAUAUCA
rnacentral:misc_RNA from 1 species